UCGGGAGGGAACCAAGGGCAUCGGCGUUGGAUCAGGCCAGCAUCGAUUGUUUGGAGGAGGUGGUUCUUUCUGGGAAGCAGAGACUGGUAUUUUGGUCCCGGCCACCACAGCUCUGUUGGAUCGAUCUCUUCUUCGUAUCAGUGAUCGUCUCCGGUGAUUGAAGGGUGCAGAGAGGAUGCGAUGUGCUUAUUUUAGAUACUGGAUUGGGAAGUGCAGAGAAUCAAGCAAGGGUCAAGGAGUUGCUUCAUGUGGAGGAAUCAAAACUAGAGAAGGAUGAGGGAAAUACCACUCCAGCAGUGAGAUGGGUUCGAGAUGAUAAAUAUGAUUGCAUCCGAUUAAAGCAUUGCAAGGUUGUGACAAAAAUUGAUUGGCAUCGGAAAGGAGACUAUUUCACUACUGUCGUUCCUACUUCAAGAUAUCAAACUCUACACCUUCUAUAUGGAGCUAGAUUUGCAAAAGCCAUAUCCAACUCGAGGAAGUGACUUAUUGACAUGGGAGAGAACUUAUUGGUAACCAAGGACUUUGUGAAGAUAGCAAAUUUUGGCCUUGCUCGUGAAGUUCAUUUGAAGCCACCAUUCACAAAAUAGGUUUCAACACGCUGUUUACAAAUCUCAAGUACUCCAGAGUUGAAAUUGAUGAAGUGCAGUUCGAGUGGGCUG